UUAGUGACAGCGAGUGGUACAAGAAGGUCCAGUUUAUUACUUCGUUGGCUGGAACACAUCUAUUCCGGGAUUUGCAGUCAGAAGCAGCAAAGACCAUACUCGACAUUGUCAAGACACCGUCAGCCAAGAAAUGACGAGACGUCAUUUGACAGCUGGGGGGAGUAUGUGGUAGACUGUAUUUUAUAGGUUUUACAGUAAUUGUGUAUAUUUUUAUAUUUAGUUUAUUGUGUUAUAUUUUGUAUAUUAUAUGACUUAUAUUGGGUAUAGUAUACUAAUUACAGAUUGUAAUUAGUUGAUUAGUCUAUAUAUAUGCUUUAUUCAUUUUAUUUACGUAUUUGACAGUUGGACUUAUUGACAUACGACAUUUUCUACUGGUUUGGGUAACUUUGGUUUGACUGUAGUUUACUUCAAAGGUUUUCUUUUUAUGCUUCGGUGGACCGCACACUUUCUUUAUUUCUAUUGGUCAUUAUAUUUUGGCGCUAUAUUUCUUUUGUUCUUUUAUGCUGGUCAUCACUUUUCUAUAUACUGGUGGACAUAUUGAUACAUGCUUGAAGAAAUUCUAAGUUUGAACCUAUAUUCAUUUUUAGUUUUCUCUAUAUUCUAUAUUCAGGUAUAUUUAAUGUAAUCCUGGGAUGAUGUAAAUCAAUUUCCAUAGAUAUAAAUCAGGAGGCCUUUGCACCUCAUGCGAGGGUACGUUUUAUGUAUAUUUGUUAUUAUCCUGAAAACUAGUCCAGAAAUAAAAGGAACCAUCUUAAAGAAAGUAUUGUGUUUAUUUAAGCCCUAGAAAGUGCUACUACAA